AUGAAGAGUUUGAUCCUGGCUCAGGAUGAACGCUAGCGGCAGGCCUAAUACAUGCAAGUCGAGGGGUAUAUUUCUUUCGGGAGAUAGAGACCGGCGCACGGGUGCGUAACACGUAUGCAACCUGGCCACUACUGGGGGAUAGCCCGGGGAAACUCGGAUUAAUACCCCAUAAGACAAUAGUUUCGCAUGGGACAGUUGUUAAAGAUUUAUUGGUAGUGGAUGGGCAUGCGUCCGAUUAGCUAGUUGGCAGUGUAACGGACUACCAAGGCGACGAUCGGUAGGGGGUCUGAGAGGAUGAUCCCCCACACUGGUACUGAGAUACGGACCAGACUCCUACGGGAGGCAGCAGUGAGGAAUCUUGGACAAUGGGGGAAACCCUGAUCCAGCCAUGCCGCGUGAAUGAUGAAGGCCUUAGGGUUGUAAAAUUCUUUCAGCAGGGAAGAUAAUGACGGUACCUGCAGAAGAAGCCCCGGCUAACUCCGUGCCAGCAGCCGCGGUAAUACGGAGGGGGCUAGCGUUGUUCGGAUUUACUGGGCGUAAAGCGCACGUAGGCGGACUUUUAAGUCAGAUGUGAAAUCCCGGGGCUCAACCUCGGAACUGCAUUUGAAACUGGAAGUCUAGAGACCAGGAGAGGUUAGCGGAAUACCGAGUGUAGAGGUGAAAUUCGUAGAUAUUCGGUGGAACACCAGUGGCGAAGGCGGCUAACUGGACUGGUACUGACGCUGAGGUGCGAAAGUGUGGGGAGCAAACAGGAUUAGAUACCCUGGUAG
rnacentral:rRNA from 1 species